AAUGGGCGCAAGCCUGAUCCAGCCAUGCCGCGUGAAGGAUGAAGGCCCUAUGGGUCGUAAACUUCUUUUAUACGGGACAAAACCCCUCCUCGUGAGGAGGGUUGAUGGUACUGUAAGAAUAAGGGUCGGCUAACUUCGUGCCAGCAGCCGCGGUAAUACGAAGGACCCGAGCGUUAUCCGGAUUUAUUGGGUUUAAAGGGUGCGUAGGCGGAUUAGUAAGUCAGUGGUGAAAGCCCGUCGCUUAACGGCGGAACUGCCAUUGAUACUGCUAGUCUUGAGUAUGGUUGAGGUGGGCGGAAUGUGUCAUGUAGCGGUGAAAUGCUUAGAUAUGACACAGAACACCAAUUGCGAAGGCAGCUCGCUAAGCCAUAACUGACGCUGAGGCACGAAAGCGUGGGGAGCAAA
rnacentral:rRNA from 1 species